rnacentral:rRNA from 1 species
GACGAACGCUGGCGGCGUGCUUAACACAUGCAAGUCGAACGCAGUGGCGAACGGGUGAGUAACGCGUAAUCAACCUGCCCUUCAGCGGGGGACAACAGUUGGAAACGACUGCUAAUAUCGCAUCCUGUAGGAGGGGAUUGCGUCUGUUUAGCUAGUUGGGGGGGUAACGGCCCACCAAGGCGAUGAUCAGUAGCCGGUACGAGAGGAGGAACGGCCACAUUGGGAAUGGGACACGGCCCAGACUCCUACGGGAGGCAGCAGUGGGGAAUCUUCCGCAAUGGACGAAAGGCUGACGGAGCAACGGCGCGUGAGUGAUGACGGCCUUCGGGUUGUAAAGCUCUGUUAAUCGGGACGCGGUACCGGAAUAGAAAGCCACGGCUAACUACGUGCCAGCCGCCGCGGUAAUAC